GGAGAGUAUCGCUAAAUGGUCGGCAAUCGGUCUUGAAAACCGAGACUGGGUAAAACCUGGGGGUUCGAUUCCUCUACUCUCCG
rnacentral:tRNA from 1 species